rfam:Schistosoma mattheei strain Denwood, Zambia genome assembly, scaffold: SMTD_contig0009279
AUCCAGCUGACGAGUGCGAAAUAGAACGAAACGUGUGUCGAACUGGAU